GCAGGAAGUGUACAGAGCAGUAAUGGGUGUGCUAGUGUUGCAAUAUGGGGCACAAGUGAUGGCGUGGGAACAUGCCAGCUUGCCAAUUAUGUACCAGGUUUACUGGCAGCCAUGCUGUCUAGCUCCCUCAGGAUGCCCCAUGCUCAGAAUACUGUUGAAGUUGUCUUGUAUGAGUAGAAAAGUCCUAAAGUCAUGUCUUACAGCAGAUGUAAAUAUAAUAGUGUGUUUGCAGUGUGUUUAUUGUGGAUCUUUCUCUAAUGUCCC